UACAGAGGUCCCAAGCGUUGUUCGGAUUCAUUGGGCGUAAAGGGUGUGUAGGUGGCGCCGUAAGUCGGGUGUGAAAUCUCGGGGCUUAACUCCGAAACUGCAUUCGAUACUGCGGUGCUUGAGGACUGGAGAGGAGACUGGAAUUCAUGGUGUAGCGGUGAAAUGCGCAGAUAUCAGGAAGAACACCCGUGGCUAAGGCGGCUCUCUAGUACGGUACUGACGCUGAGACGCGAAAGCGUGGGGAGCGAACAGG
rnacentral:rRNA from 1 species